GUUUGAUGUUCUAACGUGGACCCGUAAUCCGGGUUGCGGACAGUGUCUGGUGGGUAGUUUGACUGGGGCGGUCUCCUCCUAAAGAGUAACGGAGGAGCACGAAGGUUGGCUAAUCCUGGUCGGACAUCAGGAGGUUAGUGCAAUGGCAUAAGCCAGCUUGACUGCGAGCGUGACGGCGCGAGCAGGUGCGAAAGCAGGUCAUAGUGAUCCGGUGGUUCUGAAUGGAAGGGCCAUCGCUCAACGGAUAAAAGGUACUCCGGGGAUAACAGGCUGAUACCGCCCAAGAGUUCAUAUCGACGGCGGUGUUUGGCACCUCGAUGUCGGCUCAUCACAUCCUGGGGCUGAAGUAGGUCCCAAGGGUAUGGCUGUUCGCCAUUUAAAGUGGUACGCGAGCUGGGUUUAGAACGUCGUGAGACAGUUCGGUCCCUAUCUGCCGUGGGCGCUGGAGAACUGAGGGGGGCUGCUCCUAGUACGAGAGGACCGGAGUGGACGCAUCACUGGUGUUCGGGUUGUCAUGCCAAUGGCACUGCCCGGUAGCUAAAUGCGGAAGAGAUAAGUGCUGAAAGCAUCUAAGCACGAAACUUGCCCCGAGAUGAGUUCUCCCUGAGACUUAGAGUCUCCUGAAGGAACGUUGAAGACGACGACGUUGAUAGGCCGGGUGUGUAAGCGCAGCGAUGCGUUGAGCUAACCGGUACUAAUGAACCGUGAGGCUUAACCUUACAACGCCGAAG
rnacentral:rRNA from 3 species